rnacentral:rRNA from 1 species
UACGAAGGGGGCUAGCGGUGCUCGGAAUCACUGGGCGUAAAGGGUGCGUAGGCGGGUCUUUAAGUCAGGGGGGAAAUCCUGGAGCUCAACUCCAGAACUGCCUUUGAUACUGAAGAUCUUGAGUUCGGGAGAGGUGAGUGGAACUGCGAGUGUAGAGGUGAAAUUCGUAGAUAUUCGCAAGAACACCAGUGGCGAAGGCGGCUCACUGGCCCGAUACUGACGCUGAGGCACGAAAGCGUGGGGAGCAAACAGG